GACGAACCGAGCGAACGUUGUUCGGAAUCACUGGGCUUAAAGGGCGCGUAGGCGGGUGCUCAAGUCCGGGGUGAAAUCCUCCAGCUCAACUGGAGAACUGCCUCGGAUACUGGGUGCCUCGAGGGUGGUAGGGGUAUGCGGAACUAUCGGUGGAGCGGUGAAAUGCGUUGAUAUCGAUAGGAACUCCGGGGGCGAAGGCGGCAUACUGGACCACAUCUGACGCUGAGGCGCGAAAGCCAGGGGAGCAAACGGG
rnacentral:rRNA from 1 species